GACGCUGUCUUCACUCUGUCCUCUAUCCUUCGACAAAAUGACUCUUCAAAUGUAUGUUUUGGCUUCUGUGAUAAUAUCAUUGUGUGCCAGCACAAUAGAAUAUUCUCAACGAAACACUUCCUGCUUCAACAUCAAAAAUGGCGAUGGUUUUAACUUCGCACACGAUUGCCCCGCUGGAUCUGAGAUAUCUGCAUUUUAUGACAAGACUCUGAUUGCUAUUGCCAAGCCUGGAAAACAACUUGUAUAUUUGCAUGAGGUGAAAAGCAUGGACAACUAUUCAGUUGUUACAAGAGACUGCAGAGACCUGAAAGUAAAAUGCUUCAUUUCUAUGGGUCCGCUUGUGAAAGAGAACUGGGUGUUUUUUAAAAUUACUGAGGAAAUAAAGGAUCCUGAGCCAGAUUUACCAUGGAGCCUCAGUGAGUGGAAGUUCAUUCUGUUAAUUAUUCCAAUGUCUC